rnacentral:lncRNA from 10 species
GGGGUAUAUCCCCUCCUUCCCCCUGUGGAUCCCAUAACACUUGCUCCUCCUGGUGCCCCACCCCCACCCCACAGGGUGCUGACUACAACCAAAGUGCCCCAUGGAAAGAACAGCCCAUGGAUGGAGCCCAAGAGGCGCUAUGACCUGAACAGGCCAUGCUGGGUCUAAGGUGCUACAUCAAACGCUGUGCCCAGGUGACUCCAGCUGCGAUCUUCAGGAAGCAGGGACAGCAAAACCGGGCAUUGGCCCCACGGUGCCACUCACACCUGGUGACUACUUUCCACCCAGGCGCCCGUUCCGUGUCCUCGAAGCCUCAACCCACUGAACCUGGGCCUUUGCCUUGUGCAGGCUGAGUAGCUGAGCCUUUCUUCACCUGCCAUUCUCCAGGAGCUCCGAGGAGGCGCUGGCCACAGCGGCCACAGCCAGGCAGAGCACAACGGUGCAGGCCGAGGUGCCCAAGGUGGAGAGGGGACCUUAGCGUCUUCAACUAGUGCCCUCAACUACCGGCGGGCAUGCUCCCCCCAGGCCCGUCUAUGGCACCUGCAGAAGGAGGGUUAUGAGAAGCAGGCUGCUCAUCAUAACUCCAGUUCUGGGCCCCCUGGAUGUGGGAUAGAGGGGGACAGGCAGAGCUGGGAUGUGACUGUGAUGGGGAUGGGUCUGUCAAGGGCUGGCUGGGAGCUCCAGCCUCCUCUCUUCUUAGUAGGGGUCUGAGGCCCAUCUGCAGCCUCUUUGACUCCUUUUAUUCUGCAGAACACCCAGACUCCAGCCUUCUCAUGGGAAUCAUAAGGUGCACGAGGCCCAGGGUUCUUUCGGCCUCUUCCCAACCAUGGUCUUUGUAUUUCCCCCAUAUAUUUGGAGGACAGGAGGCCCUUAUUAUGAACUCAAAUUCCACCCACCUUAUAGUUGGUCCUGGGAUUUGUCCUGUUGGUCAGAAUCUAAGCGGAUGGCUCCCUACCUAGAAGAGGCCAUUGGGCAUCUCAUCUCACAUUCCGUGGACAUGACCUGCUAUGAUGUCCAUCUACUUUGAAGGAGUGUCUAACUCCUUGAAUAGAAUUGAGGCCCAGAGAUCUGUAUGCUGUAGUCAUUGAAUUAUGCCAAGGUUCUAGCAAAGUAACCACACAAAGUUAAUUGCUUAAUAUUUCUGUGUUAAAUGAAUGAAUGCCAACCAGAACCUUCUUAGAUAUGAGUGGGCAAGGGACCCCUGUCUCCAGCACCCAGGGACCCCUAAGCUGUCUAUAUAAAGGAUGACGACUAGCUAGAAAAAAAAAUCCUUCACACUUUCUUUAAAAUGGAAAACAUUAUUAAUUUGUCUUAAUGAAUAAAACAGAUUUGCUUUCUAUGUGCUGUUUUAAAUACAAUGUAAAAAAUGUGGCAAAGCCUUUAACAACUGUUCACACUUUACUCAACAUCAGAUAAUUCAUACUAGAAGAUCACUAUACAUGUAAUGGAUGUAGAUAGAGUUUUAUCUUAAAUAUAAACCUUAGAAAUAACCAGAAUUCAUAAAGAAUUCUUCCACAGGGAAACUUUUCAAAUGCAAUAAGUGUGAGGGAGUAUUCAAAA